CGGCCUGAGGUCGGACGAGGCUACCCGCUGAAUUUAAGCAUAUUACUAAGCGGAGGAAAAGAAACUAACGAGGAUUCCCUCAGUAACGGCGAGUGAAGCGGGACGAGCCCAGCGCCGAAUCCGGCCGCUUAUGGAGCGGACGGAAUUGUGGCGUAUGGAAUUCGCUUCGAGCGCGGACCGGCUGCCCACGUCCUUCUGAUCGAGGCUUCAUCCCAUAGCGGGUGUCAGGCCCUUGGCGGCGGCUGGCCCGGGCUCUCGGUGUCUUC
rnacentral:ncRNA from 1 species